GAGAAAAAAAAAAUUAAAAAGGAAAAAAUCUUAAUGAAAAAAGAAGAAAGAAAGAGGAAAAAGGGGCGAAAGAAGAAAAGCUUUAAAUAAAAACCUGAGCGAUGGAUCACGCUUUCAGGCAUAGAUACACAUAGAUUGACAGCUCAUCACCUCACCCCAGAGUGGACACAACUUUUGGUGUUUCCUCUUCAGCAGAAGAAGAUUUAUUUUUUCAUUCAUCAGCAAAACCAGAAGAACAAAAUAGAGAGGGCACUGCUCAAGGUUGCUGCAAUGAAGGGUGGUGCUAAGAAAAAGGCCACGGCGGAUGCUCCGGCCGAGGUGGUGGAGCCUUCUGGUGCUGCGGAUUCGGGAAGUGGAGAGGGUGGAAGUGACAAAGUUCAAAGCUUUGAGGGGAACGAGGGUACCCAGUUGCGGAACGGUGAGGAUGAGGAACCCCAGGUGGAGGAUUCUGAAGGGGAGGGUGAGGAAGGAGAAGGGGAGGGGGAACAAGAGUAUGGUGUGGAGGGAGAUGAAGAAGAGGAAAAUGCUGGUGGUGCUUUUCCAGGGGCUCAAGGUGUUGUUCUUGCUGAGAAUUUUUAUGAAGUUGAAGCUAUACGUCGUAAGAGGGUGCGCAAGGGUCAAGUGCAAUACUUUAUCAAGUGGAAUGGGUGGCCUGAGACAGCCAACACUUGGGAGCCACCAGAAAAUCUAGUUUCUGUUCCUGAUGUUGUUGAAGCUUUUGAGGAGAGCUUGAAGUCAGGAAGACACCGUAAGCGCAAACGCAAGCACGUGGUGCAUCAUACUCAACCCAAGAAGAGGCUGGAGCGUUCUACCACUCCAUACAGUCUUCGACGCUUUUCCAGUACUGUUGGAAACCAUUCACAGUCUGCUCUUCCUGUUCUUAGUGAUGCUAGCCUUCCUGUUAUUCCUGCCUUUCCUCAGACUGUUCUUUUUGCUGAUGAAUUGGGAAAUGGUGCUGGCAGCAAUCUUGAAAGUGCCACACCUGUUAUUGUUAACAAAUCUCCAAUUGUUUUAGAACAAAAUGUUGAAAGGAAUGAGGAAAAUGAUUAUGAUCCUAAGCUUAGUGAGCUUAAAGCCUCUUCUGCCAGUGGGAAUGAUGCCGACAGGCUUGCAAUACGAAUUCCAGAGGCAAUGCCUUCUGGUCCUGGGUUUGCUGGCAAUAAUGGUCAAACAGCUGCUAAACCAAAGGUGGUUCGCAUGGAAACAAGUGAAAGUGGUCGCUGCCGAGGAGCCAAAAGGAGAAAAUCUGGUUCUGUAAAGAGGUUCAACAAAGAGUUAUAUGCUGGUGAGCCUGCCAAUACACAAAACCCAAUUGGAGCAGCUGUUGGUACAGAUGAGUCAGCACUACUAUCACGGAAUGCUGGUAGUGGUGGUAAUCAUGCCAGACCUGCUAGCAAUAUUGUAAAGAUUAUAAAACCAAUAGGCUAUUCAGCUUCCGUAGCCAGCGGAGCGCAGGAUGUUUUGGUAACCUUUGUGGCUUCAAAGAAAACAACAAAAUACCCUCCUCCUAUAGUGGACUGUUUGGAGGUAUAGAGUGGUCCAAUUUGGGGAUGCACAACAGUCCCAAAAAACAAUUUCCCUAUCCUCUCCAACCAGUUGCGACCUCUUUCUCACAUACAUGCUCACUCACCCAUUAAUGAUUUGCCUCUUUGAGUAGAGGUUGCUGCGAGAUGGAUAACCAAUUUUGCUGAAAAAUUCAGAGUAGAAGAUUCCUGGCUAAGCUCUGGUAUCAGGCAGGUCUGAUGGAACAGAAGUAAUGGUUAACAACAAGUAUCUAAAAGCAUUUAAUCCACUUCUUCUCAUCAAUUUCUAUGAGCAGCAUCUUCGCUACAGCCCUACAUCUUGACCGAAUAAAGUAUUGAAGGUGCUUUGAGUAUGUAGUCAGAUUUCACAUGACAGCACUUAGUUAUUUUUAAGAGUAUCUUUUGUAGAUGCAAAAGAUAGUAAAGGGUAAGAAAUGCAUUGUUUGUUAGUUACAUAUAGGUAUUGACAUUUUAACCAGUGGUUGUCUGGCUACAUACUAUGAUGCAACCUGGUGGCAUAAAGAACUACAUACUUUUAGUGUCUCAAGACAUGAGGAUUGGAUCAAAUAGUUUCUUAAGAAUUAGUUAGUCAAGAAUGAAAAACUAUUUUGGAUGAUGUCAAAUUUUAUGGAAAUUUAUAGCUAUUUAUUAGCAGUUUA